UAGUCCACGCCGUAAACGAUGUCAACUAGCCGUCGGGCUCAUUAUAAGGGUUUGGUGGCGCAGCUAACGCGAUAAGUUGACCGCCUGGGGAGUACGCCGGCAACGGUAAAACUCAAAGGAAUUGGCGGGGGCCCGCACAAGCGGUGGAGCAUGUGGUUUAAUUCGAUGCAACGCGAAGAACCUUACCAGCCCUUGACAUCCUAGGCUACAACCAGAGAUGGUUGGUUCCCUUCGGGGACCUAGUGACAGGUGCUGCAUGGCUGCCGUCAGCUCGUGUCGUGAGAUGUUGGGUUAAGUCCCGCAACGAGCGCAACCCCUAUCGUUAGUUGCCAGCAUUAAGUUGGGCACUCUAGCGAGACUGCCGGUGAUAAGCCGGAGGAAGGCGGGGAUGACGUCAAGUCCUCAUGGCCCUUAUGGGCUGGGCUACACACGUGCUACAAUGGUGGUGACAGUGGGCAGCGACCUCGCGAGAGGAAGCUAAUCUCCAAAAGCCAUCUCAGUUCGG
rnacentral:rRNA from 1 species